GAUGAACGCUGGCGGCGUGCCUAAUACAUGCAAGUCGAGCGAACAGACGCGGCGCUUGCGCCUCUGACGUUAGCGGCAGAGGGGUGAGUAACACGUGUAUAACCUACCUAUAAUACUGGUAUAACUUCGGAAAACCGGAGCUAAUAGCGGAGAAGAUAUUGAACCGCAUUGUUCGAUAGUGAAAGACGGUUUUGCUGUCACUUAUAGAUGGAUCCGCGCCGCAUGAGCUGGUUGGGAAGGUCACGGCCUACUAAGGCGACGAUGCGUAGACGACGUGAGAGGGUGAUAGGCCACCUUGGAAGUGAGCCAGGGACCAGACUACUAAGGGAGGCAGCAGUAGGGAACGGUAGGCAGCGGUCGGAAACCUGACGGAGCAACGGCGCGCGUGUGAUGACAGUGCUGGGAUCGUAAUACUGUGUUAUUAGUGAAGAACCACUGUGUAAGUAACCGUGCACGGCUUGACGGUAACUAGUAAGAAAGCAACGGCUAACUACGUG
rnacentral:rRNA from 1 species